GAAGGCAAAAGGAUUUUCUUUAAAUUGGAUUCUGUAAUCUGUGAUGCCCCUGUCUGGGCUUUUAUAAAAAAUAUUAAGCCUCACAAUGGCUAUUUUGGAUGCGACAAAUGUGUGCAGAAAGGACAGUAUGUGGCAAGAAUGACAUUUCCUUUAAUCACUUGUCCACUGAGGACAGAUGAAUCAUUUGCAGAAAAACACGAUGAAGAACAUCACCUAGAUGGCCCUAACACUUUCCAUGACUUAAGUAUAGGGAUGGUAUCUCAGUUCCCAGGUGAUUAUAUGCAUUCUGUGUGUUUGGGUGUUGUAAGGAAACUUCUGAACAUUUGGCUUAGGGGGCCUCUCAAAUUCCGCUUACCCGCCAGCAUUGUCAACCAGAUGUCUGAUUGUUUGACAGGUUUACGCAAUCAUAUUCCAGUGGAAUUUGCCAGGAAACCCAGAAAACUGAGAGAACUUGAUAGGUGGAAAGCAACAGAAUUUAGGAUGUUUUUAUUGUACAUUGGACCUGUCAUUCUGCCUUCCUACCUGGACACAAACAUUUACAAUAAUUUCAUGCUGCUGUUUUCUGGCAUUGCCAUUUUAGUCAGCCCAACACUGUCUUCAUUGUACUGUCAGUAUUCUGAGACAUUGUUGCAGAUGUUUGUGACCCAUUUUGGCCAAAUAAAUGGCAAGGACUCACUUGUGUACAACGUUCACUCAUUAGUUCAUCUUGCUCAGGAUGUAAGACUGCAUGGUUGUCUGGAUAACAUUGCAGCCUUUCCCUAUGAGAACCACCUUCAAAUGCUCAAAAAACUUGUCCGAAAGCCUGAACGUCCACUUGCACAAAUUAUACGUCGGUUGUCUGAGAAAACUACUUGUCAGACUGAUCAAAUGUCAUACUCUUUAAAAAGGCCUCACUUUGUUGGACCUGUUCCUGAUGAACUUGCCUUUAGAGGGGUUCGAGGGCAAUACAGCCAAAUGAUUACUGACCAAUGGACUAUCAAAGUUUCAACAGGGGAUAAUGUGUUCAUCAUUGCAGAUGAAAUUUGUAUGAUUGUUAAUAUUGUUGAGUGUCAUGAUGGAAUCUAUGUUGUAUAUAGAAACUUUUCAGAUAAGUCCACCUUUUUUACAAAUCCCUUUAACUCUGACUUCCUAAAUAUUUAUAGCAUCUCACAAGUGUCAGAACAGUGCAUGUAUGCCAAAGUUUGUACAGUUAAGCAAAAAUGUGUCCUAGUCCCCCACAGAAGAGGUUUUGUAACCAUACCAAUUCUGCAUAGCCUAAAGAAGUAGAUGAACUGGUUUGCUAUAGUGGGGUAAGUUGUGGUUAGUUGAGUCGUCUUGAAACAUCAUUCUACGCUGAACAUCGAUGUACUAAGUACAAGAUGUUUCAUGUUGUUCAGUACUUUGAUGCAGCAAAGUCUGUGGCAGUAGUACCUCAGUCAUGGUACAGUGCUGGUUUCACCCUCUGGCCAAAUUACACAAGUGAUGAGCGGAUCAAUAAAGCUGUGCGGUGUGCAGAGGCACCUGGACAGAACUGGACAAGGCAUCCUGUCAGAGUUUUGAAGACAUAUGCUUGGCGUGGUAUGAAAAAGUCUUUGACCUGUGACACAUCUGAGUUGGAUUCACAUGAUGAGGAUUCACCGGUUGGCCGUGUUAGGAGAACACCUAAACCAAUCCACUAUUAUGGUGAUACAGAACAGGAGAGUGACACUGAGUGUGUUCCUAAAAAAAAUCCAUAAGCCAUAUCCCAAAAAGGCUCAACUCCAAUAACACACCCUCAGCAGUCAUCAGCAUCCCCAUUGUCAUCACGAAGCAAUGCACCCUCUACAAGGCCAUCUUCCUUUGCUGCACCUCCACUUCCACCACAGCCACCUCCAGGGCUAUUUUCCAUUGCUGCUCCUCCACCACCACCUCCAAGGCUAUCUUCCACUGCUGCACCUCCACCAUCACCAUCUCCUCCAGGGCCAUCCGCUCAUGCUGCACCUACUGAGCUCCCUCCUCCUGAGCCGACACUCACAGAGCUGACCUACUUCGUGACUUCUUAUACAUCAUCCUUCCAUCCAACACAUCCUGGGCUGUCCUCGAUUGCACCACAACCUCCACUGCCAUCUUUUGAACAUUUCCAUUCAUCUCAGUCCACAAAUCCUUUGGAAACCGACUCGGAAGUGUUCAUGCCCACUUUAAGAGCUGGCCGCUCUGGGAGGGAGCCAAUUCCCUGCACACCUGCCGAGCUCCACAUGCUCACUCUUUUGGAGAACCUAAAACACCAGCUUAACCAACAAAGUUCUGUGAUGAAUCUCCUCAUGUCACGACUGAACGCUGCACGUGAACCAGCAUCAGAGAUGCCAGACGACAUCUCCUUUCCUUUGAGUUCACUGGCUGAGGUGGACUGUUUUGAGGACUGGCUCAAUGACCCAGCGAAUGCUAUGAAGAAGAAACAAAUGGUCGCUGUGCUGGCCUCUAUUGAGGGACGUGACAUAAAGCAUGUCACCUGGAAUAUCCUGGCACACAUUUUUUCAUCUAGUGUUGCCAAACAGAUAAAUUGGAAGGGAGUUAAUAAUAAAAAGAAGUUCAGCGAGAUGGCAACCAAGGCUCUCCUCGCACGGGCUGUGCGCAAGAACCAUCAGGGGGAAAAGGCAACGGACAUGGAAAUAAACCACCAUUCCAUCAGGUGGUUUAAUUUGGCUUCUGACCGUGGGGGUGGCCGUAGACAACGGUCACAACAAACUAUGUCCCAAUGAACUAUUCCUAAGUGCCCAUUCUGGACUGUUUGACUGUUUGACACCCUUGUGACUAAGUGCCGGUGGACUGUUCCUAAUGGUAAUGUUUCCUCUGUGGUUCGUGCUCAGCCUCAGCUUGCAUGCAUGCAUGCAUAUGUGUGGGUAAUUCUGACAAAGAGAGCUGUUUGGUGUUUUCAUGUACAUGUAAGUUUGACAAAGAGCUGUUUGGGUUUUAAAUGUACAUGUAAGUCUGAUGGAGAGAGCUGUUUUGUGUUUUCAUGUACAUGUAAUUCUGACAAAGAGUGGUUUGGUGUUUUUAUGUACAUGUUCUGACAGAGAGCUAUUUGGUGUUUUACAUGUAAGUCUGACAGAGCUGUUAGGGUUUUAAAUGUACAUGCAAGUCUGACAAAGAGAGUAGUUUGGGUUUUAAAUGUACAUUUAAGUCUGACAGAGAGAGCUGUUUGGUGUUUUCAUGUACAUGUAAUUAUGAAAAAGACCCUGUUGAGUUUUACAAGUACAUGUAAUUCUGACAAAGAGAGGUUUGAUGUUUUUAUGUACAUGUAAGUCUGACAAAGAGAGCUAUUUGGUUGGGGUAAAUGUAAACCUAUAAAUAAACAU